GUUUGAGGCUUCUUCAGGGAACAGUUGCCAUUCGGUUUGGCCUUUUUUGGAGAGGGCGUCCUCGUUCUUUUGGGAGUCCUGAAGCCACAAGCUACCCGGUCGCGCCUUCGAAGGAGGCCGGUGUUACUUGGCACGUGAAGGUUCUAGUUAAUAUAAGAGCAGCUGAGCCAGCCCUUCUGUCACUACUGGCGGUGGCCUAGCGGGUGCCUAGAAAAUAGCGAGCAUGUGGUGAUUGCUCCUUGGGAAGCUCUCCUUGCUCUAGAGACAUGAGGUACUCAGAGUUCCUGGAUGACGUGCAGCGACCCGAGUAUGUCACAGGAAACCCUGUAAGGAUGUUCUACUGUAGAGAAGUAAAGACAGCAAUCUUGAACAUCCACUUUGAAAGCACCCUAGAAGCAUGUGAACUUAAUGAAGCCUGGAUCUGCACUACUAUCCCCAGGAAGAUCUAAAUCUUCAGAAUUCAGAAGAAAAACUCUGUUCUGUGCAGCACGAUAACCCUAUCAGGAAACAGCACCAAGUCCUGCCUGAUCUAAAGCUGAGGAAAGCUUUCAACGCACAAGAGAAGACUCAAAGCUUUUCAAGAUGGUAAAAAUUCAACACUUGAGAGUUACGGUCCUGAAACUGGUGUUUAAAAAUGGCUGGCAACAAUGUUUGGACCAUGCUGACACUGGAUGGCUCAGCUGGCAGCUUCUGUGUGAGUCAUCUCUAAGGUGCACAGCUCUCUCCAUCCAAUGAGAGGAAGCCCAGAUUGGACCAGAUUGCACAGCGUCGUGUCCAUGAACUUCCAGGGUUUGCAUUAAAAUCUGACAGAACAUCAGAGUGCCAGAAGCUUCUCAUAUUGUGGCUCUGGAGAUACGUGAUUUCUUCAUGAAAUGGAGAGUCGGCUGAAAAUGAGUGAUUAAUAGGAUGAGAAGAGGCCUCAGACAUCAGAAACAUAAAGGUAAUUUGCAUCUCCCCGUAGCACCUGCUUUAGCCACUCCAGCAGCAGCUUCACGUGGACCUGGUUAGCCAUCACCAGCACUGCGCCCCUGGGAAGCACUGUUGCGCUGCCCGUGUGCCUCGGCGCUGUUAGAGCACCUGCCCAGCUUGUAGAGUCCCUACCUACUGCUUCUGUGGCAUCUUGUCAACAUAUCUGAGAACUUGCAGCUGUUGCCCCAGAGCCCAGGAAGAACCAUGGCUGACAAACAGACCCCACCACUGACAGCUGUUGACAGAAGUCCACAG